UACGUAGGGGGCCAGCGUUGUCCGGAUUUAUUGGGCGUAAAGAGCGUGUAGGCGGCCAGGUAGGUCUGCUGUGAAAACUCGAGGCUUAACCUCGAGAUGUCGGCGGAAACCAUCUGGCUAGAGUCCGGAAGAGGAGAGUGGAAUUCCUGGUGUAGCGGUGAAAUGCGCAGAUAUCAGGAAGAACACCCGUGGCGAAGGCGGCUCUCUGGGACGGUACUGACGCUGAGACGCGAAAGCGUGGGGAGCGAACAGG
rnacentral:rRNA from 1 species